AUGCAAUACGGCUCCUUGCCAGGCAGCUUACAAAAUGGUCCAUAAGAUUUUGACACUCAUUCAGCUCAGGAGAUAACAAUUUGCACUGAAAGUGUUCUGAAAACCAGAGGAAGUGGAAGACCUUAAGUCUCCCCCUUCCUGAUAUGCUCUUGAUGUGCUGGACUACAACUCCCAUCAUCUCAACCAGCAUGGCUGAUGUCAACACAUCUGGCAAGCAAAGGCUGACUUGAAAGAAUUUCCAUUGUUUCCCCUGCUCACCUUCUGCAAGAGAAAAUGAAACCCCUACAUUGGACAAGAAUUGUUGUCACUGCUGUGUGCCUUCAAGAGGUUUCUGACUUAUGGCAACCCUAGGGUGACCCUUUCCUGGGGUUUUCUUGGCAAGAUUUGUUCAGAGGAGGUUUGCAAUUGCCUUUCCCUCAGAGUACGUGAUUUGCCCCAGAAUAGAACCUAGCAAGUUUCAUGGCUAAGCUGGGAACUGAACCCUGGUCUCCAGAGUCGUAGUCCAAAACUCAAACCAUUAUGCCACAUUGGCUCUUUGGAAAAGA